rnacentral:rRNA from 1 species
CCUACGGGUGGCAGCAGUGAGGAAUAUUGGUCAAUGGACGAGAGUCUGAACCAGCCAAGUAGCGUGAAGGAUGACUGCCCUAUGGGUUGUAAACUUCUUUUAUAUGGGAAUAAAACGUUCCACGUGUGGGAUUUUGUAUGGACCAUAUGGAUAAGGAUCGGCUAACUCCGUGGCAGCAGCAGCGGUAAUACGGAGGGUCCGGGCGUUAUGCGGAUUUAUUGGGCUUAAAGGGAGCGUAGGUGGAUUGUUAAGUCAGUUGUGAAAGCUUGCGGCUCAACCGUAAAAUUGCAGUUGAAACUGGUAGUCUGGAGUACAGUAGAGGUAGGCGGAAUUCUUGGUGUAGGGGUGAAAUCCUUAGAGAUCACGAAGAACACUCAUUGCGAAGGCAGCUUACUAGAAUGUAACUGACACUGAGGCGCGAAAGCGUGGGUAUCAAACAGGAUUAGAUACCCGAGUAGUC